rnacentral:rRNA from 1 species
CAGUCGCCGCGGUAAUACGAAGGGUGCAAGCGUUACUCGGAAUUACUGGGCGUAAAGCGCACGCAGGCGGUUUGUUAAGUCAGAUGUGAAAUCCCCGAGCUUAACUUGGGAACUGCAUUUGAAACUGGCAAGCUAGAGUCUUGUAGAGGGGGGUAGAAUUCCAGGUGUAGCGGUGAAAUGCGUAGAGAUCUGGAGGAAUACCGGUGGCGAAGGCGGCCCCCUGGACAAAGACUGACGCUCAGGUGCGAAAGCGUGGGGAGCAAACAGGAUUAGAUACCCCGGUAGUCCCUGUCUCUUAUAC